rnacentral:rRNA from 1 species
CUACGGGAUGCACCAGUGAGGAAUAUUGCACAAUGGGGGGAACCCUGAUGCAGCAACGCCGCGUGGAGGAUGACGCAUUUCGGUGUGUAAACUCCUUUUAUAUGUCAAGAAAAUGACGGUAGCAUAUGAAUAAGCACCGGCUAACUCCGUGCCAGCAGCCGCGGUAAUACGGAGGGUGCAAGCGUUAGUCGGAAUCACUGGGCGUAAAGGACGCGUAGGCGGGUUGGAAAGUCAGGUGUGAAAUCCUACAGCUUAACUGUAGAACUGCACUUGAAACUGCUAAUCUAGAGUAUGGGAGGGGGAGAUGGAAUUAGUGGUGUAGGGGUAAAAUCCGUAGAUAUCACUAGGAAUACCUAAAGCGAAGGCGAUCUCCUGGAACAUUACUGACGCUAAGGCGUGAAAGCGUGGGGAGCAAACAGGAUUAGAUACCCCAGUAGUC